GAUGAACGCUGGCGGUAUGCUUAACACAUGCAAGUCGAACGGACUCUUCGGAGUUAGUGGCGGACGGGUGAGUAACGCGUGAGAAUCUGGCUUUGGGUUCGGGACAACCACUGGAAACGGUGGCUAAUACCGGAUGUGCCGAGAGGUAAAAGAGAAAUUGCCUGAAGAUGAGCUCGCGUCUGAUUAGCUAGUUGGUGAGGUAAAGGCUCACCAAGGCAGCGAUCAGUAGCUGGUCUGAGAGGAUGACCAGCCACACUGGGACUGAGACACGGCCCAGACUCCUACGGGAGGCGGCAGUGGGGAAUUUUCCGCAAUGGGCGAAAGCCUGACGGAGCAAUACCGCGUGAGGGAAGAAGGCUCUUGGGUUGUAAACCUCUUUUCUUAGGGAAGAACAAAAUGACGGUACCUAAGGAAUCAGCAUCGGCUAACUCCGUG
rnacentral:rRNA from 1 species